rnacentral:lncRNA from 9 species
AGGGGACUCUACUAUGGUUAAGCUGGUACUGAACAAAGGAUAAAAAUAUAAGUAUUAUCUUCUCUUCGCAACCACAGAUUCCUUUGGUCUUGGGACUUUCUAUUCCGUCUUCACUGGGCUGCACACUGCAAGUCACAAGAGCCAGGACACCUACUCACCUAAUAAGUGUCGAGAGAAGCGUUUGGCACGAGCACUCUGCGGGACCCAAGCUCCCGGCUGCUCGCGAUCCGUGUGUCCGCUGCUGGCUGCUGCGGGAGGAGCAGAAGGAGCGGAGGGGAGGAAGCCAGCGGAUGCUUGCUGGAGCCUGGAGUUAAAAGAGGUAAUUCGAGUAAGACUGGAUGAAUAUUGUGGGUACAAUUCAGCACGGUAAGACUUUGUAUAUAGUGUUUAUAAUUGAUCCCUAUACUUGCAUGUUACCUAAUGGCAGAAACAGCAUGAAAUGACAGAAACAGCCUUGAUUUUUUUGGACUGUGGGAGAAAUUUUUAAAAUCAAUAUUGAAUUUUAUGUGGCAAGAAUAUAGAUGCAUUGAUGAAAACAGAAAGGCAAGUUAACUUUAAGAGGGUGGUUUAUUGAAAAUCGCUUCCUGAGAUUUCAUAUCUACAUAUGGUAAUCAGUGAAAUAAAUGAACCAGUUAGUAUUCCGAGCUUGCAAUACUUGGCUCUGUAGAAAGACGGCUGUUACAUUUCAUUUCCAAAUUCAUUUGUGAAAAUAGAAUAAUGUUGGAUGGGUUUACUAACUUCCUCACAUGUGUGUGCUAUAGAUUGAGAAUGUCCUACAGAGCAGAGAGAGACAAGGUCCAAGAUCUGGCCUCAUUACACAAUGCCAUCUCUCCACUACAAGGCAUCCUUCACAUAAGCUGCAACUAGUGGAAUCUGGAGCUCCUUCCUCUCCUACUCUGUAUACAUGUAGCUUCCAAUUUGGACCUAAAUCUCCCUGCAAUGGACCUUUUCACUCAUAUUCUUCCUCAUAGGACAGCUAUGAGUUGGGGUUGUCCUGAAUUGACGUAAGUUAAUACCCCAAUAAUGAAUUUUAUAGUUGUUGGGCAUCCUGCCAAGCCAGGUGUGGAGAGAGAGGGUACGUUGGAGUCGGGGCUAGAGUAAAUCAUCUGAAGUGGUGAGAUGGUAGCUGGGAACAUGGGCUGUACUUAAGGAGAAAUGAGGAAGUGUGGAAGGGAAGCAAUAAAACUAAAAUCUGAAGGGUGCGUGUGUGUUCAUGCUCCCAGAGAGACGGAUUAUUUUCAGUAGGAAUCAGCCCUAUAUUUGUGCAUGAGUGAGUUUAUCUCAAAGGUCAGACUCCUUGCUUAAUAAAAGCUUUAAAAAGAAUUGAGAAUCCCAAGAAAAUAAACAGCUCUCAUUUGUAGUUAUUGACUUUCAAAUAAACUCUUCAGUUAUAAGGUCUGAAACAGUUUUUUUCUCAAAUUUUAGUGCCUAAGAAUGCAAAACAAUUGAGAUUUAUGACCUCUAACACAAAAGAAAUUGGUUCAAGAGGAUCCAAUUAAGUGCAAGUUUAACACCAUGGGGGAUUCCAGUUCUCCUAGUUCAAAAAUUACCCUGUGAAAAAUACAGUCUUGGUGCUGAUGAGCUUGCUUGUGUUGGGGAGAGUGGUGUAACUCAUAUUAAUCUAAAAACUUUUCAUAGUAUUUAUCUUUUGAAUUUUCGUUGUUUUUCAAGAUCAUUGCCAUUAUUGUUAUUAUCAUGUCUGUCUUGUUAGUUGAUGGCUAUUCUCAAAUACCAAACUUCUAUCAUUUGUACAUUUAAAGUGCUGGAUGGUGGCCAUUUGAGAGUAAAACCAGAAGGCACUAAAAAUAAGGUUAUGGAAAUGCUUUAUGAUUAUUGAGCAUUAAUUCAUUUUAAAAAAUCAAUUUGUUGAUUGGUUGGUUAGAGGAUAGCUUUAAAUAAACAUUAUGAUUAUCUUUUCCUCAUUGAAUGGAGGACAAUUUUUAAAAGAUUUAAAAUCUUUAAAAGAGUUUAAUGUGCUA